AGUGUAACUUGCUGCUGACCAGCCCAUUUACACCUGACAUGUUUGAUUUGUGAUUCGUUGCCUCUGUGUAGGAGUUUGAGCUUCCAUUGCAGAGUGAUUCCAUUUGGAUUAUCUAAUGUGAAAUGUGUUCAAAGAAUCACAUCACUGUAGGCUAUGGAUAUGUGCACACAGACUCAGAUGAAGUCUUCUGUCAAUCAAGAACUCUUUUGAUCAUCGACGCCUCCCACAGCUACACACAGCCGUGGAUAUGCUGAUUUGAUCACCCUGGCAACAUCACGAGCCACUGAGGACAAAAACACAAGUUAUUGCUGAAACCUUCCUUGCAUGAACAUAAAUGAACAGCCUGUGUGAACUGCUGUAUGUGUCAUCAGCUGAAAAGGAAACUAGAAAGAUUACAGAAGAUUGAUUGCGGGAUGUGCAAAUGUCUCAAAAGAGUCAGAACGUAGAGGGGCCAAUUUUCCAUGCAUGGCACAGAAAGCACAUCUGGCACGAUAGCAUAUAACUUUGGGCAGAAUGUGAUUGAACCUGGUGCACACAGGCUUUUAAUUGUUCCAUGAGUUCUCAUGUGAUCUGUCCUCAUCAGCUCCCCAUGAGACGGGCUUCAAAAACACCACAAUGACCUCCAAAGGAGAGUCUCCUGGUGGUAUUCUUGGGAAACACGCAAAGGACAAAUGCAUUGGAAAUUUGAGUUAGAAAUAGACACUGUGCUAAAUUAUGUUCUGCUUGUGCUAGAUUAGGUGUCCUGUGGAAAUCUUUGAUUACUACAGUUUGCAAAGCUUGGAAAAGUUCUUCAGUAUUAACAGGUGCAAUGUUAAUAUAUUUCUACAGCCAAUGACGCCACCUCACCUAUAGUAAAGUGUCCGUGAAGCACAUGUUCUCUUGUCUGCUUUAAGCACAGCUGAAACUCAUCUGUGAGUGUUUUUGGCAGUCUAAUGUUGGCCUGUAUCUUGCAUUCCAUUCCAAUUGACCAUAUAGCAUUCUGUUGUCUGAUGAUUGGAACAUAAUGAAUUAAGACACAAAAUGGCAAUGCUGGCAUGUGUUCUGCAAGUGUGUGAUUAUCAGACAUUUGCAGAACAGGUUUUAUUGUGAUUUAAUGACUCAGUGAUGCAUUUUAUGUGCUUAAAAGUGAAUUGCUGGCAUGACAUCAUACACCUGCGGCAUGAGCAUUUCCAAAUUGGAAGUCCAAUUUUAAAUGCUGUUUUUUUGGAUAAUUUAUCCAUUUUAAGUGACAAGUUGGAAAGUCUGACUCAUUUGUGCUCAGACAUGGACAGUGUUUUGCACCAGCCGUGUAGGUGUUUUUCUCAUUCAUUCUCUACACUGAACUCUUUAUUAUAGAACAGUUUGAAAUACAUUAAUAGAUAUGAAUUACAAUCACGACUUUGAUUUAAAGCAAAAAGUUUAAGACUGAGUACUUAAUGUCUUUUAUAAAGAAAUGAACUUCACAGCACAUUUUGGGCUCUAUUGGAAAUAUAUCACUGUUACCUACUGUUAAAAAUCAGCUUAUCUAUGGAGAAAGUAAAUGGGACAUUGUUGUGCUCUUCAGAGAGAUCUGGCCUUGUAAAUAUAAAUAUAAAUAAAUUGUCCAAUUUUCAUCAUGCUCAGUGUU